UACAGAGGUCCCAAGCGUUGUUCGGAUUCAUUGGGCGUAAAGGGUGCGUAGGCGGCGCGGUAAGUCGGGUGUGAAAUCUCGGAGCUUAACUCCGAAACUGCAUUCGAUACUGCCGUGCUUGAGGACUGGAGAGGAGAGUGGAAUUCCUGGUGUAGCGGUGAAAUGCGCAGAUAUCAGGAAGAACACCAAUGGCGAAGGCAGCUCUCUGGGACGGUACUGGACGCUGAGACGCGAAAGCGUGGGGAGCGAACAGG
rnacentral:rRNA from 1 species